GAUAAACGCUGGCGGCGUGCAUGAGACAUGCAAGUCGAACGAAGGAUCGGGCUUGCUCGAUCCUUAGUGGCGGGCGGCUGAGUAACGCGUAGGUGACCUACCCCGAAGUGGGGAAUAACUGCCCGAAAGGGUGGCUAAUACCGCAUGUGGUCGCACGUUCAUUCGUGCGAGUAAAGCCGCAAGGCGCUUCGGGAGGGGCCUGCGUCCGAUUAGCUCGUUGGUGGGGUAAUGGCUUACCAAGGCGACGAUCGGUAGGUGGUCUGAGAGGACGAUCACCCAGACUGGGACUGAGACACGGCCCAGACUCCUACGGGAGGCAGCAGUCGGGAAUUUUGCUCAAUGGGGGAAACCCUGAAGCAGCAACGCCGCGUGAGGGAUGAAGGCCUUCGGGUUGUAAACCUCUUUUGUCAGGGACGAUGAUGACGGUACCUGGCGAAUAAGCCACGGCUAACUACGUG
rnacentral:rRNA from 1 species